AUUGGACGCUGGCGGCAGGCCUAACACAUGCAAGUCGAACGGCAGCGGGGGAUAGCUUGCUAUCCUGCCGGCGAGUGGCGGACGGGUGAGUAAUGCAUGGGGAGCUGCCCAAUCGAGGGGGAUAACAACUGGAAACGGUUGCUAAUACCGCAUACGCCCUGCGGGGGAAAGGUGGGGACCUUCGGGCCUACCGCGAUUGGAUGCACCCAUGUGGGAUUAGCUAGUUGGUGAGGUAACGGCUCACCAAGGCGACGAUCUCUAGCUGGGCUGAGAGGAUGACCAGCCACACUGGAACUGGGACACGGUCCGGACUCCUACGGGAGGCAGCAGUGGGGAAUAUUGCACAAUGGGGGAAACCCUGAUGCAGCCAUGCCGCGUGUGUGAAGAAGGCCUUCGGGUUGUAAAGCACUUUCAGUCAGGAGGAAGGGUUGAUAGCUACAUCUAUCAGCAUUGACGUUACUGACAGAAGAAGCACCGGCUAACUCCGUGCCAGCCGCCGCGGUAA
rnacentral:rRNA from 1 species